rnacentral:rRNA from 1 species
AUUGAACGCUGGCGGCAGGCCUAACACAUGCAAGUCGAACGGUAACAGGAAGCAGCUUGCUGCUUUGCUGACGAGUGGCGGACGGGUGAGUAAUGUCUGGGAAACUGCCUGAUGGAGGGGGAUAACUACUGGAAACGGUAGCUAAUACCGCAUAACGUCGCAAGACCAAAGAGGGGGACCUUCGGGCCUCUUGCCAUCGGAUGUGCCCAGAUGGGAUUAGCUAGUAGGUGGGGUAACGGCUCACCUAGGCGACGAUCCCUAGCUGGUCUGAGAGGAUGACCAGCCACACUGGAACUGAGACACGGUCCAGACUCCUACGGGAGGCAGCAGUGGGGAAUAUUGCACAAUGGGCGCAAGCCUGAUGCAGCCAUGCCGCGUGUAUGAAGAAGGCCUUCGGGUUGUAAAGUACUUUUCAGCGGGGAGGAAGGCGAUAAGGUUAAUAACCUUGUCGAUUGACGUUACCCGCAGAAGAGCACCGCUAACUCC